UACGUAGGGGGCAAGCGUUGUCCGGAAUCAUUGGGCGUAAAGAGCGUGUAGGCGGCCAUGUAGGUCCGGUGUGAAAACUCGAGGCUUAACCUCGAGAUGUCAUCGGAAACCAUUUGGCUAGAGUCCGGAAGAGGAGAGUGGAAUUCCUGGUGUAGCGGUGAAAUGCGCAGAUAUCAGGAAGAACACCGGUGGCGAAGGCGGGUCUCUGGGCCGAUACUGACGCUGAGGAGCGAAAGCGUGGGGAGCGAACAGG
rnacentral:rRNA from 1 species